ACCUAGGAGAUGGCAGAGCUGGGCAGAGAAUUCCAUGUCCUCUCUCACAUCCCAAUGGCGGUGGUUGAACCAGGAGCCAGUUUAUUCCCAAAUGGUGUUCCUUGGCUCUAUGCUGUGUUUGCUGUGCUUUUUGUAUUUUUUCUUUUUGCCAUGUUAUCUCCCUUUUUACUUGAGAUAGACCAGCACAUAAAGAAAUUCUUGAUCAGAUGCAGGUAUUCUCUGCAUAACACUGUGCAUAAGGACAAAAAAAACAGUGAGAUAAAGAUGGACCAUCUAGAAAGGCCAGGCUGUCCUCUGGAGUCACCAAGGAGAGGAGUUCUGGGAGGGAAGAAAAAUGGGAUGGGAAACGACCCAUUACUAUUUGUGAAACUGACAAAAGAACCCAGGGAUUCUGAGGCUGAAAUCUAUACCCCUGGGCCUUCAGUUUGAGAGUCAUUUAGCCUAUAUGGAAUUACCUGUAACAUUACAUUCCAGAGAGACGAGAAAUUCUGAGACCCUUAUUAUCGAUGUUUA
ensembl:lincRNA